UCGUGUCUACGGUUGUGCCUGCUGGAAUG
rnacentral:piRNA from 1 species